CAUGUUCACACAAAACAAGUGUAAUUUACCCAUUGAAAGGAGUGGAAUUAGUGUUGUAAACAGCAAAAGCAAAUAACAGAAAGGAUGUAAGAGAAGAUGUUGGGUGAUCGGCCAUGCAGACAGUGGUGUGGAUCUGCGGGCACAGCAUUGUCUUUUGGGUGCAUAGGCAUGCAUCCAAGUUGCCCGAGGUUUUGCAGCUGGGCUUCGGUGGUAAAGCAGUACUCAGUUGGCAUGCAAAGAGAGGCAUGUUAUGGGAUCAACUGAUACCAUUGCUGUAUGCUGUGUGGGCCCAUCAGUAGCCACAAGAUAGAAUUGUGGUACACCUUGGGGGAAAUGAUUUAGAAAUGCUUAAAGGGAUGGAACUAAUGUUCAGAGCAAGGAGGCACUUGAGGCUGAUCCUUAAAAUUUUUCUGGGAGUUAACAUUGUAUGGUCAGACAUGCUUCAGCACAGGGUCUGGUGGGAAGCCAUGAGCCCCCCCCCCCCCCUCCAGGGUAGACAAGGUAAGGAGGUGACCAAAUUCCUUGGGACCCUAGGAGGGGCAGUAUUUUCACAUCCUGGCAUAGUAUAUGGGGCACCAGAGUUGUUUCGGGAGGAUGGGGUUCACCUGUCAGACUUAGGUGCUGUCAUGUUUUUAACUGAUAUAAAAGAGGGCAUUAGGAGAUGUCUGGGAACCCGAAUGGGUUUGGGGAGGAGGCAGCCAAGCUAAUGGCUGGCGCCUCCUUGUGGAGGAUGUCCAGUGCAGGUAACUCCAUAGGAAAGAUAUACAGUGACUGGAUAAAUGGCUUGGAAAAUUACUUAAAAAGAGGUGUUUGGUAAAGGAGCAAACAGGGGCGGCUGGGGACUCCUAUGAUUGGUACGGCAGGGAACCAACCCCCAUUAUUAUAGCCCACCUUAACCCUCCUACAGGGGAGGGGGGAAUGGUAAGGUCCCGACAAUGGAUUUGCUGGAGGGACCUGGAUGGAAAAAGAGGGAGAGCUGGUAAAAGCCACCUGGUAAUUAUGGAAUAAACAUGGGGUUACCUGAACUGUACACUUUUAUCUGCUGGGUAGUUCCAGACAUCUAAUAAUAAAGUUGCAGUCUGAUUAAACCU